AGUAACAAGGUGAUUUCACCUGAGGUCCCAUGCCUCCUUCCUGUGUGGCUGGAGCUUCGUCCAAGCACCCUUGUGAGCAAGAACACUCUGCGGCGAAUAAGAUGUGAAGUGUAGAAAACAACAAGAGUCCUUUCCUCUUCAAACUGGCCUUCCAAGUAAUCCUGUUUGCACAACGUGAGCAUACAACAGGACUACUCACGCUUUCCUCCAACUGUUGCUAUUCAUUUGCGGAGAAAGAGAUUCCCAAGAAGGUUAUCCGGUGUCACAAAGAAACCAGUUCCAUCUGCUCCCACAGAGCUGUCGUAUUUCAGCUGAAGAGAGGCAGGCAGACCUGCGCCCUGAAGGAGCAUGCGUGGGUCCAGAAGUACCUUUCCAGCCUGAAGUCCUGUCUGCCAUAGCAAAUGCCAGCUCUGGAGACCAUGUGGCAUCACGCGUCACAGAAACUGCCAAGCCCACACCAUUCCUUCUGCUCCGCUUCAGCUGAGUUAGGAGGAUCUGCUCAGU